rnacentral:rRNA from 1 species
GGAAUCUUCCACAAUGGGCGCAAGCCUGAUGGAGCAACACCGCGUGAGUGAAGAAGGGUUUCGGCUCGUAAAGCUCUGUUGUUGGAGAAGAACGUGCGUGAGAGUAACUGUUCACGCAGUGACGGUAUCCAACCAGAAAGUCACGGCUAACUACGUGCCAG